rnacentral:rRNA from 1 species
CCUACGGGAGGCAGCAGUGGGGAAUAUUGCACAAUGGGGGAAACCCUGAUGCAGCGACGCCGCGUGAGUGAAGAAGUAAUUCGGUAUGUAAAGCUCUAUCAGCAGGGAAGAAAAUGACGGGACCUGAGUAAGAAGCCACGGCUAACUACGUGCCAGGCGCCGCGGUAAUACGGAGGGGGCAAGCCCUAACCGGAUUUACUGGGUGUAAAGGGAGCGUAGACGGCAGUGCAAGUCUGGAGUGAAAGGCGGGGGCUCAACCCCCGGACUGCUCGGGAAACUGUCCGGCUGGAGUGCAGGAGAGGUAAGUGGAAUUCCUAGUGUAGCGGUGAAAUGCGUAGAUAUUAGGAGGAACACCAGUGGCGAAGGCGGCUUACUGGACUGUAACUGACGUUGAGGCUCGAAAGCGUGGGGAGCAAACAGGAUUAGAUACCCGUGUAGUC